rnacentral:rRNA from 1 species
UACCAGCUCUCCGAGUGGUGUGGAUGUUUAUUGGGCCUAAAGCAUCCGUAGCUGGCUGGGCAAGUCCCCUGUUAAAUCCACCGAUUUAAUCGUUGGUGUGCGGGGGAUACUGUUCGGCUAGGGGACGGGAGAGGCCGACGGUAUUCUCGGGGUAGGGGUGAAAUCCUAUAAUCCCGGGAAGACCACCAGUGGCGAAGGCUGUCGGCUAGAACGCGCCCGACGGCGAGGGAUGAAAGCUGGGGGAGCGAACCGGAUUAGAUACCCGGGUAGUCCCAGCUGUAAACGAUGCAGGCUAGGUGUUUGGGCGGCCACGUGCCGCUCUAGUGCCGCAGAGAAGUCGUUAAGCCUGCCGCCUGGGGAGUACGGCCGCAAGGCUGAAACUUAAAGGAAUUGGCGGGGGAGCACCACAAGGGGUGAAGCUUGCGGUUU